UGAGUACGAGACGCUAAGGCGUCGAAGUAGUGGAUGUCAUACUUCCAAGAAAAGCUUGCACUGUCAUAAAUAAAGAAUGCCUGUACCAUAACCGACACAGGUGGGUAAGUAGAGUAUACUAAGGGGCGCGAGAUAACUCUCUCUAAGGAACUCGGCAAAAUAACUCCGUAACUUCGGGAGAAGGAGUGCCUUAUUCUUAAGGUUGCAAUAACAAGAUCCAAGCAACUGUUUAUCAAAAACACAGGUCUCCGCUAAGUCGUAAGACGAUGUAUGGGGGCUGACGCCUGCCCAGUGCCAGAAGGUUAAAGAAGUCGGUUAGCAAUAGCAAAGCUGGUAACUGAAGCCCUGGUGAACGGCGGCCGUAACGAUAACGGUCCUAAGGUAGCGAAAUUCCUUGUCGGGUAAGUUCCGACCCGCACGAAAGGCGUAAUGAUUUGGAUGCUGUCUCGGAGAGGGGCUCGGUGAAAUAGACUUGUCUGUGAAGAUGCGGACUACCUGCACCAGGACAGAAAGACCCUAUGAAGCUUUACUGUAACUUGAAAUUGAAAUUGGACUUUAUUCGCGCAGUAUAGGUGGGAGGCGUUGAUUAUAAUCUUGUGGGAUUAUUGGAGCCAUCAGUGAGAUACCACUCUUGUAAUGUUAGAUUUCUAACUUUGAAUCAUUAUCUGGUCAAAGGACAGUUUCAGGCGGGCAGUUUGACUGGGGCGGUCGCCUCCUAAACGGUAACGGAGGCGUACAAAGGUUUCCUCUGAACGGUUAGAAAUCGUAUCUAGAGUGUAAAGGCAUAAGGAAGCUUGACUGUGAGACCUACAAGUCGAGCAGGGACGAAAGUCGGUCUUAGUGAUCUGACGGUACUGAGUGGAAAGGCCGUCACUCAACGGAUAAAAGUUACUCUAGGAUAACAGGCUGAUCUCCCCCAAGAGUUCACAUCGACGGGGAGGUUUGGCACCUCGAUGUCGGCUCAUCGCAUCCUGGGGCGGUAGUACGUCCCAAGGGUUGGGCUGUUCGCCCAUGAAAGCGGUACGCGAGCUGGGUUCAGAACGUCGUGAGACAGUUCGGUCCAUAUCCGGUGUAGGCGCUAGAAUAUUGAGAGGAGCCUUCUUUAGUACGAGAGGACCGAGAAGGACAUACCUCUGGUGUACCAGUUAUCGUGCCAACGGUAAACGCUGGGUAGCUAUGUAUGGAGUGGAUAACCGCUGAAAGCAUCUAAGUGGGAAGCCCACCUCAAGAUAAG
rnacentral:rRNA from 1 species